GCUAUACUUAGUUUUUGGGUGGUGAACAUGAUGUAAUCCACACAGAAUUUGAAAUAUGUUAUGAUGUACAUCUGAAAGAUGUAUAAUGUUAUAAUCCAAUGUUAUUGCAAUAAAAAAAAGACAAUAAUGCAAAAAAAACACAAGAGAUAGUAUGGGGUUGGUAGGGAGAAUUCCACUAUUCCCCCUACAGAUUUUCUUCCCUGUUUUCCAGAACUGUAAAUAUGUUGAUAUAUCACACCCACGAUUAUGUUACAUUACACCACAAAGGGUGUAAUUGUGCAGGUGUAAUUAAGUUUACUAAUCAUUUGACUUUGAGUCAUUUAAAAGCUAAGAGUUUUCACCAGCUAGUAGCAGCAGCAGAAGUCAGAGAGAUUCCAAGCGACAAAGAUUCAAUGCAACCUUGCUGGCUUGAACACGGAGAUUCCCUGUGUCUCAAGAAAUGGAGGUCUCUAGAAACUGAGAACAGACCCUGGCUGGAAGCUAGAAAAGAAGUGGGGACCUUUGUCUUACAACCUCGAGGAACUGAAUUCUGCCAACUACCUGAAUCAGCUCGGAAGUGGAUUCUUCCCCAGAGUUUCCCAGCACAAGCCCCGUCCAGCUGACACUUCGAUUUCAGCUGAUUAGUAUGAAAACUGCUAGUUCUCUGCUCCUCUGUUCCGACCAGAUGCAAUCUCAGCCCUUGAGACUGGGAGCAGUUACUCUGGGAAGGACAAUGGGAAUCUGUGGAAUCCUGAUCCCUGGACACAUUUGAUUGGUCCAGAUUGCCGUUGAACCAACCAUAGUUCCUUCCAGAGGAAUUUGGAUUUGUGACAACCAGACAGCAUUGGGCCAAUUAUCAUUUUGAGCACCUGGCCUGUAAGGUAUAAAAUUUGUGAAGAUUUGGUAUUCACAUUCUGCCAUGGAAACUGGGAAGCAGAGGAAGCCUCUCUGUGGCCAGAGAGAAGAGAGAAGCAGACAUGCAGUGAUGGAAGAAAUAUACACAGGCAGUAUCAUGCUGAAAUGACUUGAUGAAUGUUGUCUCUGAGAACUUUAACUUGAAAUCGUCUACUGGAAAUCCUCAUCUGAGGGCUGUUGCCUCCCGUCAGUGAUAACCCUCCUUCUACCACUUAAAGAUAAUUCACAAGCUGCAGUUCUUCUGGCACCCACCUUCACAAGAAAGCUUCAGUCUUUCCAAGAUCUGAGUCUAUGGCUUGAGCUGACUUCCCUGCUCUGACACCCAGUCUUCACAGACGCAACUGAGAGCCGUGUCGUUCCGGAAGCCUUUCUGGACUCGCGAAUGGAAGCACUCUCCACUUCCUGUCCCAUGAUACUGCCUCUCCCUGAAGGUAUCUGUGGCUCUUGCAGCCAUCUCUGUACCCCGCAAAGCCCCCAGCACAGAGACUUGCAUGAAACAGGAGCUCAGGAAAUGCCUUUGAAUGAAUGAAUGAUCAGAAAAUCUGUCUCUUUCAUGUGUAUUAAAGUCACAAACAAAUUAGAGGGGAGGGGAAGGAAGCACAGGAGGAGUGUCUACUGGGAAGAGCACUGGGCAAGGUAUGUGGAACCCAGAGCUUGGUCUGGGUUCUGCUACUAAGCACCUAAGAGGCCCUGGCACAUUGCUCAGCCUUUCUGAGCAUCAAUUUCCUUGCCUUUAUGACUGGCAUUCUAAUACCUGUCCUGCCUACCUCAGAAGCACUGGGAGCUUUGAAGGAGAUUGGAUGGAAUGUCUCAUGUGGAAGCACACAAAGUGUUAUAACAAGGCUAUAAAAUGUGUGGUGGAUUUGUUGUUGUUUCAUGGGUGUAUGUGCUGUGUCCACAGAUUAUAAAUUCCUUGAGAUCAGGAGACGUGGAUCUUGCUUAUUCCUAGAGUUCCAAGGACAGUGAAGAGCUGGCUGGGGGCUCGACACCUACCUACCCAUGUGAACGUGCAGUGGUGCUGCAAGGACUUGUUCAUGGGGAACGAUGAUCCCUGAACUUAAAGGAUUGUGUCUUGUCAUUACGUGGGUGAGAAAACUACACAACUGGUUUAGUGAAAGGAAGUAAACAUGGAAAUGACUCCCCAGCUCUUCUGGGGAAGGGCCAGGUGCAGGACCCAUGCCUGUAUAAGGUCUUGUGUUGAGUGCAGGUGAGACAAAAAGAUUCCUGAAGAUCCCAUCCCUGCCAUUCCUUGGGCUGUUGAGCACCUGCAGCGUCCUAGGCAGUGGGCUUCUGCUGUGUUCAUGCAGGCAGCUCUCCCAGGAACCCCAGGUGGUGAGGAUCAUUAUCCUUGUUUUGCAGUUGAGGCAACUUGGAGGAUGAUAAAGUUGAAGUAACGUCCCCAGCAAAUGCCUUCUAGAACUGGGAUUCAAACUGGUGUCUUGGUGCAAAGCCCUUGGUUUUUCCGUUACAUUAUAUGGAGUAUGAGUCUGGUUUAUAAUUUAGAAUUUUGCACAAGCUCCAUUUUUUUUUUCUUAAAAGAAAAAAGGAAAGCAUACUGACAGGUGGAUUCUUUUAAAUGGUACUCUUAGAAAUUAUUAUGUUAUGGGGUACCAGUUCGUUGUCAGGCUCUGGUUUUUAAUUUUCCAUGAAAAUUGCUUUGCAUCUGUAGCCACUUUGGUCUAACAUGCUUUCCUCCCUCUUCAGUGAAUAUUGUCAAAUAUUUGCAACAAUCCCC
ensembl:lncRNA